GCUCCGCCCUCACACCUUCUGGUCUCCUUCCUGCUCCGCCUCCACAGCAGGUCGGCAGAGACAAGGCGACAGAGACCCUCAGCCUCGCUCACUCCUUUGUGAAUGCUGGGAGUGGUAGGGCCAGGAUUUGAACCCAGGGCCAUCUGGCCCCAGAAUCUGAGCUCUUUUAGCUCUGCAGUGCAGUGGCUAAAGUUCCAACUCAUCCGGACAGUUCUUCCUAAAACACAGAGCCCUCGUGCUGGGAGGGGAUUAGGCAAGCUUCCUAGUGCAAUGAGCAGUAGGUGAACCAUACAGAAUGGCCAUUUUUAUGGGUCAAAACAGUUCAAUAUUGGCAAUUUUACAGAGUUCCCAGAAUCACGGCUGAUUGAGCAACCACACUCAGUUCUGACUCAACUGGCCAACCUUUAGUUCAUACUUCCCUCUGUGCUUCAGGAAGAUUCGAGAGGGACUCAGAUGCCCUGCCAGAUUCUAAAACAGCCCCCGAGUCAGGGGUUUUCCCGGGACUCUGAGCGUGACCUCAGGACGGCAGGAAAACAGCAUUGCCCUGGGUUGCAGUCGGUUCAGUUACGAGCCCGAGGAAGGAGCACCAGCCCCCGGCUCAGCCGUGAUCUGGGCUGUCUCCAACAUUUUGAUACAAGAGACGAUGCUGCUAAGACUAUUCUCCCACAUCCCGAGGAGAAGAAUUGCUGUUUCACAGGUACAUCACUCUCCCCUGACAGAAAUCCAGCCCCUGUUGACCUCAGAGAUGCCUGAAUCCAGCCCUCUAUGUACCAGAAGAGGCACUGAAUGGGGACGGCCCUCAAGUCCUCCAACCUUCCCAAAGGACUUCAAGGAGCUUGCUGGUCCAGGACCAAGAGCAGCCCCAGGCUGGAGGACUGGCUCCACCACCUAACACCCUGGUGCCUCUGUUCCCUCAUCUGUAAAGUGGGACUGAGGACAGCCCUGUCCUCAUAGAGAUUUAUGGGAAAAUUAAGUGAGACUUUCUUUUAAUGCUUUGAACGGUGCCUGGUGGAGCAUGCACUUCAAAAUGCCACACUUCUCUGCUCCCACUCUCAUCCUCAUCAGCAGUUCUCUGGUUCCUAAACUGGCGUCCUCUCAUCCCCCUGGACCCUGCAGCGGGAGCUAGGUCCCUGUGCUACCCUGUGGAAUCGCGGUCUCUAAAGCAGCCCCCAGACACAUCCUCUCCCCCUGGAAAUCACGCCCUGAAGGGUGGGCUGAUCUUAGGGACUCACUUCCAUGACUGGGACUCAGCAGAAGGGAGGAGACAUCACUUCAAGAUUAGGUUAUAGAAAGACUGAGGCUUCCACCUCACUCUCUCCCAUCGCUUUCUCUAGGAGAUGCUGCUGCCAUGUCACCAGGUCACCGGACAGCAUUGUAGGGAGGCCCCUGUGAAUGACCACUCCACACCCCCCAUCAAGUCUUAAAAUAACUGCAGCCCCAGCCAACAGGCUGAUGGAUCCUAUUGACGAUUCCAGACCCUCAGAAACUGGAAUAUAAUAAAUGUGUGUGAGCAGAUUUCCAAGAUUUAGCACCACAAAAGGAAGUAUCUCAUUAAUAUUUUUAUGUGGAUUAUAUGUUGACAUAAUUUUUGAGUAUGUGGAGUUAAAUAAAAUAUAUUAUUAAAGAUUAAAAAAUAAAAUAAA